GUUCACUUCCGAUCACCAAACUUAAGCAACGUCGAGCCUGGUCAGUACCUAGAUGGGUGACCGCUUGGGAAUUUCAGAUGCUGUUA